ensembl:lncRNA
AAAGACAAAUGAGUGAAAGUAGGCUACUUCACCAUACGCUUGCUGUUAUUGCAUGGUGAGUGCUUUACUUUCUAUAGUAAAGUGAAAAUGAACGAUAACGAUUUGUUCACGAAAUUAGCGUUGAGCUGCACCAUACAUAUAUUACCUACAGAAAGCAGAUUAUAUUAAAGAUUAAGCAGGAGCUCUAUGGUCGACAAAACACCUUCAAGUGCACCGAUUACAUUACAAUCGCAAGUUCCUCAAACCAUAGACGCCUACCUUCCGGUUCUACAUUCAGUAUGAGUCUCGUCUGUCUGGAUGAAAGUAGAGGAGAGGGAUGCUGUGUUGCGUUUAAGUGGACGAAUCAAGCAAUCGAAUGCAAAGGAAUUUCUUUCUGAACCUGGACCUUUUUAACAAUGCACGCUAGGCGGUACAUCGUCGCCAUUAUAUUUGUACUUGUUUGGUACUUCUUAGAGUUUGGACAAAUAUGGACACUAGCCUUCUGUUGUUUUUUAUGCCUUUUUGAUUUCACUAUCAAAAAGCAUGACCGUGAAACAAGCACUCAGACGGAUGAUACACCUGAAGAAGCAGAACGAAAGACAAAGAAAGGUCACCAUGUUGGUGUCACUGAUGAGACUGAUGCUUCCAGAACUGGACAAACUUUGUCUCAGACAAUGCAAUAUCCAAAUGUACAGAGGUCACUUCUCCAGGUCUUUAAAUGUGCCUAUACUCACCUGGUCCAGCCGUGGUACACGGUCCCAGAAUUUGGUGACAGUCAGCCCCUUCAUAAGGCAAUACAGAGGGAGUUUAACCUGGUUGUCGAGAGAGUCAUUUCCAAGGCAGUGAACUUCGAUCUGUCUGUUACCAGUGUGGGUUGUAUUAGGAUCUUCACUCAGCACCUGCAUAAUGCAAAACAGUCAGAUGGUUCUCCAGUGUUCGGUUCAAGAUCUGAGGAGAUGGCAGUCCUCAGGACCUUCUCUAAAGCUCUGGUGCGAAAUCUUUUUCCUGAGGAGCUUUGGAAAGCAAAACUCUACCAGUGUGUCCUAACUGAGAUAGUUGCUACAAAAGCUCUUGAUGUGCUCGUGACAUGCCUCUGUAAUUCAGACAACUUGAAUCAGAUGGUAGUUUUGCAACUGGAUAGAGUAACCUCUAAAAGAUCAACAGGAGACCUGCUAAACUCAGAUAGGGAAGGCACACCAUCGUCCGUAGGAAGUGAAGAAGAAGAAGAAGAAGUAUUGACAGAUGAAGCAGAGGAAGUUCGGUCUGCAGACAGAAAAAAAAAGAAGAAGGGCAAUAGGAUCAAAGAAAAAUUUUCUAAGCUUGUUGAUAAGGUCAAGUCAAAGAAAGCCAAAAAGAAAAAACAUAAGGAGGAAGAGCUUUUACAGAAGGCUUUAUCGGCACGAAGAGCUGCUGUUAUUGAAGAUGAUGUUGCAAGCAGCAGAGAGGGCUCCAUUAGAAGCGGCAUGGACUCGGAUUAUGACUGUGAAAUGGAUGUUUACCUAACAGCAAAUGUCCAGGAGGAUAUGAUGGAGUUUAAACUUUCCUAUGAGAUGUGGCGGGUGGGGAAGUGGGCAGUCCGUGUUACAAAUGUUCAGAAGGAAAAUGAAGAGCUGUGUUUCACGGUUCACCUGGAGGAGAGAAAUAACCCUGAGAAUCUCAACUGGGAUGUGAAAAAGACCCAAUCAGAUAUACUUAAUUUUCACAGCCUCUGUCAAGUGAGAGAGGAAAUGGAUAGUUCAGCUUUACCCUCUGUAUCUGCAAUAGUAGAGAAAACAAAGAAGGAUCUUGAUGCUGCAUACACAGAAGAAGUUAGAUCAGCCUUGGAGCACUUUUUGCAAGAGCUGGUUUCUGAUGCACAACUUGGUCAGACUCAGCCUGUAUUCCAGUUCUUGUGUCCCAUUGCACAGCUGCUGAGUAAUAAGGAACAUAAGGGAGGUGUCUGGAGUUUUCUGAAUGGACUGGCAAGCUUUCUUACUCCUGGCCAAGAUGAGGAUGAGUCCCAUAACCCCAGAGGAGAUGAUGGCUUUAUAAGUGCUCUGUCUGGGGGGAAAACAAAAAAAAAAGACAAGUUAACUCACAAAAAGUUAAAUGGAGAACAAAAGUCCCAAGUAAAAGAUAAAACUGGACAGCUCAAGGAAGAGCUGGCAAAUCAGCCAAAGGCUCAGAAAAAGGAGCCCCAGACCAACUGGGAGCAAAUUGAGGCUACCAAAGCCAUAUUUGAGUUACUUAAGGAAAUAACUGGUAACUCAGUCCUCGUUAACAUUGUUGAUGCCAUUCUAAAAGCAGUCCAGCCUUUGGUAAAAAAGAAAAUAAACAACUUUUUAAAAAGGAUGCAUCCCACCGAAGCUCAGAUUGCGUCCUACAUUGAUAAUUUCCGGGAGAAUAUAUGGCCAGAAGGAAAUGUGGCCAUCCAGCCGCCACGUGACAGUGAGGAGAAACAAGCGACCAAGGAGAAGGCUUUGCAGCUUAUAAAUUCAAAAUAUUCAAACUCUUUAAUCCUCAAGAAGACUGAAGUUGAAACUUUGUUCAAGAUCUUCCAGGACACAGAGGAGAACAAGAAACUUGUUUAUAUGCUGUUGUCAUACGUUCUAGGGAAGUUCCUACCGGGAGAGCCUGCCUUCAGUGCAGUAGCUAAUCUAACUGUUAAGGAUUUUGUUUUCUAAUAAAAAGAUUGAUUUUUUUUAUUAUUGUAAUCCAUCUAAUGUUUUUAAAUGUGCAUUAUUUGACAUUUCAUGUGAAUAUUCUUCAAUGAUGCAUUGUGAUAUACCUCUGAGAUCAGACUUUGACUUUGAGCAGCAUGAUUCAUGAACACUCUUUUAUAGCAUUUAGCAUUUUAACAAAUAUACUGUAAUUAUGUUUCACUUCAGCAAUGUUACAAUAUCUUACAAUAUCCAUGUUAUCAAUAUCUGUAAAUUUUAAACUCAUAUUUAAAAAAAUAACACUGUAUAUGUAAGUUCACUCUUUUUUGUACCUUAAAAUUGUACACUGAAUAAGUGAUUUCUAUUUUAAUAAACAGCACAGGUUACUCA